UACGUAGGGUGCGAGCGUUGCCCGGAAUUAUUGGGCGUAAAGAGCUCGUAGGCGGUCUGUCGCGUCGGAUGUGAAAAUCCAGGGCUCAACCCUGGACCUGCAUUCGAUACGGGCAGACUAGAGUUCGGCAGGGGAGACUGGAAUUCCUGGUGUAGCGGUGAAAUGCGCAGAUAUCAGGAGGAACACCGGUGGCGAAGGCGGGUCUCUGGGCAGUUCCUGACACUGAGACACGAAGGCCAGGGGAGCAAACGGG
rnacentral:rRNA from 1 species